UUUCUGAAUUUGCUAUAAAAUACGUCAUAGUUUUGAAAAAAAAUCUCUUCGAUAUGCCCAACCCUCCGCUCCACCACUCUUCUUUUCUGGCGUCGAUAGACCACGCCACACCUCGAACCAUCGACCUUCGAGUCUCUUGCGCAGGCGACAUCGCGGCCAGCCACGGCGUCGCUGGCUCCGGGUCUGGCCUCUUGGCUCGGCGUCGCCGCGGACGCUGCGGCCAACAGUAUAGCAAACACGUAAAAGAUGAUGGUAUACACGGGUUCAAGAGAUGGACAGGUAACCCGAGCGAUGGAGUUCCGUAAGAUGAAGCUGAACAACUGGAUAGUCCGGGUGAGCAGGAGGGGAUCACGGCGAUGCGGGACUGUUCCUCGUCUCCCUGUCCCGUGGCGCGUCGACCGGGUGGACAGAGGUGCAGUGAAGACUUGUUCGCCCGCUACGGCCACGCCUACCGGUACGUGCAUGUCACAUCCUUCUCCGACGACCCAUCCGCGACGGACGGCCAUGGCCGCGGCUUUCUGCGCGCUCGUGAUCCGCGCUUGCGGCGCCCGCUGCGACGUGGCCACCCGGCACGCUGCCCGCCCGGGUCCUUCGUACCUGCCUUUUGCUAUCAUGUACUACUAGCCGGUAGUUUGCUUUGCGCAUCGCCGCACGCACGUAAUCCUUUUCACCAACCGUGGUAGGCUGCUAGCUAGUACUGUACAUGUUACCCUGCAUUAGACGGAGUACGUGACGAAAGAA